AUAUACCGGUUUUCGUCUGAUCACCGAAGUUAAGAAACAUCGAGCAUGUUCAGUAACUAGAUAGGUGACCGCUUGGGAAUGCCAAGUAUCGUAAG